rnacentral:lncRNA from 1 species
GUGGUUGCUAUGGUUUUACACAAAGAGCAGGGUGAUCUCAUGGCUGCCUCUUUUAAAGAAAUUUGCAAUGACAUGGAUUAUAGCAUGAGAGACUGAGGAACUGGAGAUCUGCAAAAGUGUGAGACCCCACAAUAAUAGUUGAACAAGACAAACAACAUGAUGCUGCAUCUUUGCAGCUGGUAUUACUUCAUGAAUGAGACAUAGCGCAACUGACAUGUAAAGUAGCUGCAGAUAACCACAACAACACACCAGCUAUGUCCCUGGUCUUACGAGUUUCUUCAUCAAAUCAUUGUGUAAUGAGGCAGGAGAAGCUGUACCAUCUGCAGCUUUCAGAAGGAUGAAGAUAAAGAACAUUAAUGUCAGUCUUGCACUGGGAAGACACAGAUGGACAUUCAUCAUGACAGACCAGUACAACGUUGCCAAAGCAAGAAUUUUGUAGAGAGACUUCAACAAUAAAUGAUUUAA